CAAUCGGCCCUUUUCGGGGCCACGAAUUUUCCUAACGUAGGAACA
rfam:Dufourea novaeangliae contig1489, whole genome shotgun sequence.